rnacentral:rRNA from 1 species
UACGUAGGGUGCAAGCGUUAAUCGGAAUUACUGGGCGUAAAGCGUGCGCAGGCGGUUUUGUAAGUCAGAUGUGAAAUCCCCGGGCUUAACCUGGGAACUGCGUUUGAAACUACAAGGCUAGAGUGUGACAGAGGGGGGUGGAAUUCCACGUGUAGCAGUGAAAUGCGUAGAGAUGCGGAGGAACACCGAUGGCGAAGGCAGCCCCCUGGGCCAACACUGACGCUCAGGCACGAAAGCGUGGGGAGCAAACAGG